GCGCAUUAUCUUUGAUUAAUUCUUUAAUUUUACCUGUGAACAGAGCUUAUAUCUUCGUUUUAAAAACUGCAUAUUUUAAAUUUUUUAAAUGCAAUCAAAUGAUCAAAGCAAAAACAUUUUUUUUUUAAAAUUUGCAUCUCUGUUUGCUUCUUUUAAUUUAAGUUAUCUAAUUAAUACCAUUAUUUUAUCUCUGGUAAUAUAUGGAAAGCAUGUACCAGGUUCAAAAGAAAAUGACAGCAAUUCAGAUCUUUAAUCUAAUGAAAAUGUACAAAACAAAUAGUUCAUAGUGCAAGUGUAAUCAAAUCGCAUAUAACUAAAUCAUUUCUCUUUUUAAACAUAUUUUUCUUCCUUUUUACCUAAUUCUUAUGUUUUUCCUGUGUUUUUAUACAUUUUACUUUUAUGUAUGUAUAUUAGACUAUUAUUUCACAACCGCAAUACAGAUUUUCAACAAGAACAACUAACAUACGAGUGAGGAAAAAUGUUGGUGCAAUGUAAGUAGUUUUUAUGGUUUUACAAAUUUGAUUUGACCUGUAUACAUGAUAUUAAUAUUGAUUUAUUCCUUUAUAUUGUAUGAUAAUAAUAAUUAUGAUGAUAGAUGACAUUGUAUUUUUGAUUAUUUAAAGUACAUGGUGCGGAGUAUUUAAGACUGUCUCGCAAUAUUUCAUUUCAUUCUUUUUAAAAUAUUAAUAAAACUCCAGCGAGAUAAAACCAUGUCAGAACACAAGCACUUAAAUAAAUGUGCACGUAGUUUAUGGAUAGUCUGUAAAUUGCACAGGACAAUAACGACAUUACUAUUGAAUGAAAAGAGAUAUUUGUAUUUCUUUCUUUUUGUUAGGUUUGCAAAAAUGUUUUUUCACAAAGUAACCACAUCCUUUUGUGUUUUAGGCUUACAAUGUUUCUUUUUGUAUCUACAAUCAGCGGUACAGCGUCUCUUUCAUGCUUCACGUGUUCUGAUGCACUUAGCUUAGGAGAAUGUACGUCCAUUGAAACAUGCUCCGAAGGAGAGGUUUGUUACAAAAAACGAGACUAUACCAGUCAAGUGCAGUUUAGCCUCGAAUGUAUUGACAAGAAGG